rnacentral:lncRNA from 1 species
UGUAAAAAUGUCAAAAUGACUAAAUUGCAUAAAAUACAUUAUUUUACUGUCAAAAUUAAUAUAUUGAAUGAAAUUAUUAAUUUAGAUAAAUAACCGAUGGAAAAUCGAUGAGAUGGAAAAUUACCAAAAUGCCCAUAUAGUUUGACAUUUCUGCAAUUUAGCCAGGUAAGUUCGUACAAUUUAGAAUUUAAUAUCAAUUUGAAUUAUUGAGUAGAUUAUCAUUGAACAACUUAUAUAUUUAUUUUUAAUUGUGGAUAUUGAAUAAUAAAUUGAGAUAUAUUAUUGCUUUUGAUACUCGAUUUGGAUUGAACGUGG